rnacentral:rRNA from 1 species
CCUACGGGAGGCAGCAGUGGGGAAUAUUGCGCAAUGGGCGAGAGCCUGACGCAGCGAAGCCGCGUGAGGGAUGAAGGUCUUCGGAUCGUAAACCUCUUUCAGCAGGGAAGAACGGUCACUGUGCUAAUCAGCAGUGAAUUGACGGUACCUGCAAAGGAAGCACCGGCUAACUCCGUGCCAGCCGCCGCGGUAAUACGGAGGGUGCGAGCGUUAAUCGGAAUUACUGGGCGUAAAGCGCUCGUAGGCGGUAUGUCAAGUCAAGGGUGAAAUCCCCGCGCUCAACGUGGGAACUGCCUUUGAAACUGGCAAACUGGAGUGUGUGAGAGGAUAGUGGAAUUCCAGGUGUAGGAGUGAAAUCCGUAGAUAUCUGGAGGAACAUCAGUGGCGAAGGCGACUAUCUGGCACAUAACUGACGCUGAGGAGCGAAAGCGUGGGUAGCAAACAGGAUUAGAUACCCGGGUAGUC